AUUGAACGCUAGUGGGAUGCUUUACACAUGCAAGUCGAACGAGUGGCGGCCGGGUGAGUUAUAUCUCGGAACGUGCCCAGUAUCGGGGGAUAACUACUCGAAAGAGUGGAUAUUACCGCCUACUAUUGGAGCGGCCGAUAUCGGUUUAGUCAGUUGGUGGGGUAAAGGCUCACCAAGGCAACGACCCGUAGCUGGUGUGAGAGGACGACCAGCCACACUGGGACUGAGACACGGCCCAGACUCCUACGGGAGGCAGCAGUGGGGAAUUUUGGACAAUGGGGGAAACCCUGAUCCAGCCAUCCCGCGUGUAUGAGAAGGCCUUCGGGUUGUAAAGUACUUUUGGCAGAGAAGCGGUAUCUGCAGAAUAAGCACCGGCUAACUACGUGCCAGCAGCCGCGGUAAUUC
rnacentral:rRNA from 1 species